rnacentral:tRNA from 1 species
CAAGAAAAGGUCAGGAUAGCUCAGUUGGUAGAGCAGAGGACUGAAAAUCCUCGUGCACCCAGUUCAA